rnacentral:rRNA from 1 species
AGCACGACUACCGGCAAUGGAUAUCUCGGCUCUCGCAUCGAUGAAGAACGUAGCGAAAUGCGAUACUUGGUGUGAAUUGCAGAAUCCCGUGAACCAUCGAGUCUUUGAACGCAGGUUGUGCCCGAAGCCGUUAGGUUGAGGGCACGUCUGCCUGGGUGUCACAC